rnacentral:tRNA from 1 species
AGCUAGGUGGCGCAGUGGAUAGAGCACCAGUUUGGAAAUCAGGAGGACCUGAGUUCAAAUCUCACCUUAGAUA